rnacentral:antisense_RNA from 1 species
CUUUACGGCGGGCGUGUCGGGCAGGUCUCGCACCUGGCCGGGUUUGACUCAUGCACCGGUUUUCGACCCCGACACGUCCGCCACCCUG